ACGGAAGGCAGCAGUGGGGAAUAUUGGGCAAUGGGCGAAAGCCUGACCCAGCGACGCCGCGUGAGGGAAGAAGGUCUUCGGAUUGUAAACCUUAGUUAUCGGGGAAGAAGAAAGUGACGGUACCCGAAGAGAAAGCCACGGCUAGCUACGUGCCAGCAGCCGCGGUAAUACGUAGGUGGCGAGCGUUAUCCGGAUUUACUGGGUGUAAAGGGUGUGUAGGCGGGACUGCAAGUCAGAUGUGAAAACUAUGGGCUCAACUCAUAGCCUGCAUUUGAAACUGUGGUUCUUGAGUGUCGGAGAGGUAAAUGGAAUUCCCGGUGUAGCGGUGAAAUGCGUAGAGAUCGGGAGGAACACCAGUGGCGAAGGCGGCUUACUGGACGGUAACUGACGUUGAGGCUCGAAAGCGUGGGGAGCAAACAGGAUUAGAUACCCUGGUA
rnacentral:rRNA from 1 species